ACUGCAAUACCCAAAUCAUAAAUUGCUUGCAGGACGGGAAGGUGUCAACGUUUUACCUUUUGAUUCAAACAUUGCACUUGUCCCGGCCUAUGAGCGGUUUAUCUUACAACAAUCAGGUCCA
rnacentral:precursor_RNA from 15 species